rnacentral:rRNA from 1 species
GACGAACGCUGGCGGCGUGCUUAACACAUGCAAGUCGAUCGGUAACAGGUGUAGCAAUACAUGCUGACGAGAGGCGGACGGGUGAGUAAUGCUUGGGAAUCUGCCUAUUGGUGGGGGACAACCCGGGGAAACUCGGGCUAAUACCGCAUACGCUCUACGGAGGAAAGCCGGGGACCGCAAGGCCUGGCGCUAAUAGAUGAGCCCAAGUCGGAUUAGCUAGUUGGUAGGGUAACGGCCACCAAGGCGACAAUCCGUAGCUGGUCUGAGAGGACGACCAGCCACACCGGAACUGAGACACGGUCCGGACUCCUACGGGAGGCAGCAGUGGGGAAUAUUGGACAAUGGGGGCAACCCUGAUCCAGCGACGCCGCGUGGGUGAAGAAGG